ACCUGUGACCAAAUCAACCGGAAUGCGCCCAAUCUCAAAAGAUCUCAGAAGCGAAGCGCAAGCGUGAGCCUGGUUAGUACUUGGGUGAGAGGCUACCUUCGAAUGGUUGGUGUUGUAGACU
rnacentral:rRNA from 1 species